rnacentral:rRNA from 1 species
CAGCAGCCACGGUAAUACGUAGGUGGCAAGCGUUGUCCGGAAUUAUUGGGCGUAAAGGGCUCGCAGGCGGUUUCUUAAGUCUGAUGUGAAAGCCCCCGGCUCAACCGGGGAGGGUCAUUGGAAACUGGGAAACUUGAGUGCAGAAGAGGAAAGUGGAAUUCCACGUGUAGCGGUGAAAUGCGUAGAGAUGUGGAGGAACACCAGUGGCGAAGGCGACUCUCUGGUCUGUAACUGACGCUGAGGAGCGAAAGCGUGGGGAGCGAACAGGAUUAGAUACCCCGGUAGUCCCUGUCUCUUAUAC